UACGGAGGGUGCAAGCGUUGUUCGGAAUCACUGGGCGUAAAGCGCGUGUAGGCGGCCUCCUAAGUCUGGUGUGAAAGCCCGGGGCUCACCCCCGGAAGUGCAUCGGAUACUGGGAGACUGGAGUACCGGAGAGGAGGGUGGAAUUCCUGGUGUAGCGGUGAAAUGCGUAGAUAUCAGGAGGAACACCGGUGGCGAAGGCGGCCCUCUGGACGGAUACUGACGCUGAGACGCGAAAGCGUGGGGAGCAAACAGG
rnacentral:rRNA from 1 species